GUAGGGAAUUUUCCACAAUGGGCGAAAGCCUGAUGGAGCAACGCCGCGUGAACGAUGAAGGUCUUCGGAUUGUAAAGUUCUGUUGUCAGGGACGAACAAGUACCGUUCGAACAGGGCGGUACCUUGACGGUACCUGACGAGAAAGCCCCGGCUAACUACGUGCCAGCAGCCGCGGUAAUACGUAGGGGGCAAGCGUUGUCCGGAAUUAUUGGGCGUAAAGCGCGCGCAGGCGGUCGGGUAAGUCUGAUGUUAAAGCCCGGGGCUCAACCCCGGUUCGCAUUGGAAACUGCUCGACUUGAGUGCAGAAGAGGAAAGCGGAAUUCCACGUGUAGCGGUGAAAUGCGUAGAGAUGUGGAGGAACACCAGUGGCGAAGGCGGCUUUCUGGUCUGUAACUGACGCUGAGGCGCGAAAGCGUGGGGAGCAAACAGGAUUAGAUACCCUAGUAGUCC
rnacentral:rRNA from 1 species